rnacentral:rRNA from 1 species
UCGAGAAUUUUUCACAAUGGGGGAAACCCUGAUGGAGCGACGCCGCGUGGAGGAUGAAGGCCUUCGGGUUGUAAACUCCUGUCAUGCGGGAACAAGAAAGUGAUAGUACCGCAAGAGGAAGAGACGGCUAACUCUGUGCCAGCAGCCGCGGUAAUACAGAGGUCUCAAGCGUUGUUCGGAUUCAUUGGGCGUAAAGGGUGCGUAGGUGGCGAUGUAAGUCUGGUGUGUAAUUUCGGAGCUCAACUUCGA